AAAGAAGCUGCUCCUCUCACUUCACUACGGAGCCAAAGAGCAGCCAACUCUAGACCAGAAGGAGCCAGAGCACCGCUUCACUUCACUCCAGGCAAAAUGAGCAAACUGUUUGUAUUCCUCUUCUUGGCCGGACUGGUCUGUGAAACCUACCAGCAGUUCGUACCCAUACCUGUGCCAGAUAAACCGAAUGGCUGUGAUAACCCUGCUGCUCAACUGAAGGGGGAGAACAGCGAUCGUGCAGUCAUCGAUGGUAAUAAAGGCCUGCACCUUGGACAGGAAACGGCUCCGCCCCCUUUCAUUACGAUACCAAUGCCAUAAAUAAUAAAGGAAGAGCAAAGGGAAGCUGCAUUCAGAAGAAUAAUCAAUGUACUGCUGUAUCACAUCUGUGUAGUUCUGUAAUCAUCUGGAUUGUGGCUGUCAUUAUGUGGUUCUUCUGUCUUAAGCCAGUCUAUGUUCCUUAUGGUCCAUCAGUAAGGAAUGAGUGUCAAUGAAUGGCUAAAAAACCUUUUAACUAUGAUCUAUUGCAUAUAUAAAAAAUAAAAAAAAAU